rnacentral:other from 1 species
AUUUAAAUACGUCUCAUGUUAUUGUUCAAC